AAAUAAAGGGUGUUCAGCAGGCACCAGCCUCCCUUACUGAAGUCUGCUCACCUCUGCCCCAGAGUUCAUGUUUCGUAUGCUAUGUGUGUCUCCAUUUACCAAUGAGGAAAAGGUGAAAAAUAGAGAUUUCAUCACUCCUUUUCUCCUGGGAAGUUAAAUAAAAAAGAAGGACCAGCAGCUUGAAAUUUAAACAGGGGAUUUGUUGAAUCAGUGAAACAAAUAUUCAGAGAAGUGGAUUUCUCCUCCAAGAACCAGGUGAACCCUUUCAAGGUUGACUUA